rnacentral:rRNA from 1 species
CGGACCAAGAGACCGGCGCACGGGUGCGUAACGCGUAUGCAAUCUGCCUUUCACAGAGGGAUAGCCCAGAGAAAUUUGGAUUAAUACCUCAUAGUAUUACGACUCGGCAUCGAGAUGUAAUUAAAGUCACAACGGUGAAGGAUGAGCAUGCGUCCCAUUAGCUAGUUGGUAAGGUAACGGCUUACCAAGGCUACGAUGGGGUAGGGGUCCUGAGAGGGAGAUCCCCCCACACUGGUACUGAGACACGGACCAGACUCCUACGGGAGGCAGCAGUGAGGAAUAUUGGUCAAUGGGCGCAAGCCUGAACCAGCCAUGCCGCGUGCAGGAUGACGGUCCUAUGGAUUGUAAACUGCUUUUGUACGAGAAGAAACACUGAUUCGUGAAUCAGCUUGACGGUAUCGUAAGAAUAAGGAUCGGCUAACUCCGUG